UCAGUUAAUAUUUUAUUUAGAAUAUAAACUUUGGGUGUUUAAGGAUUUGAAUUUUCAAAUUAGCUGAU
rnacentral:tRNA from 1 species